rnacentral:rRNA from 1 species
ACACCGGCAGCCCAAGUGGUGGCCAUUUUUAUUGGGCCUAAAGCGUUCGUAGCCGGCCUGAUAAGUCUCUGGUGAAAUCCCGCAGCUUAACUGUGGGAAUUGCUGGAGAUACUAUCAGGCUUGAGGUCGGGAGAGGUUAGAGGUACUCCCAGGGUAGGGGUGAAAUCCUAUAAUCCUGGGAGGACCACCUGUGGCGAAGGCGUCUAACUGGAACGAACCUGACGGUGAGUAACGAAAGCCAGGGGCGCGAACCGGAUUAGAUACCCGGGUAGUCCUGGCCGUAAACGAUGUGGACUUGGUGUUGGGAUGGCCUCGAGCUGCCCCAGUGCCGAAGGGAAGCUGUUAAGUCCACCGCCUGGGAAGUACGGCCGCAAGGCUGAAACUUAAAUGAAUUGGCGGGG